rnacentral:tRNA from 2 species
AGUAAGGUCAGCUAAUUAAGCUACCGGGCCCAUACCCCGGAAAUGUUGGUUUAUACCCUUCCCAUACUA